rnacentral:rRNA from 1 species
UAACACGUAUCCAACCUGCCGUCUACUCUUGGACAGCCUUCUGAAAGGAAGAUUAAUACAAGAUGGCAUCAUGAGUUCACAUGUUCACAUGAUUAAAGGUAUUCCGGUAGACGAUGGGGAUGCGUUCCAUUAGAUAGUAGGCGGGGUAACGGCCCACCUAGUCUUCGAUGGAUAGGGGUUCUGAGAGGAAGGUCCCCCACAUUGGGACUGAGACACGGUCCAAACUCCUACGGGAGGCAGCAGUGAGGAAUAUUGGUCAAUGGGCGAGAGCCUGAACCAGCCAAGUAGCGUGAAGGAUGACUGCCCUAUGGGUUGUAAACUUCUUUUAUAACGNAAUAAAGUCGGGUAUGUAUACCCGUUUGCAUGUACUUUAUGAAUAAGGAUCGGCUAACUCCGUGCCAGCAGCCGCGGUAAUACGGAGGAUCCGAGCGUUAUCCGGAUUUAUUGGGUUUAAAGGGAGCGUAGAUGGAUGUUUAAGUCAGUUGUGAAAGUUUGCGGCUCAACCGUAAAAUUGCAGUUGAUACUGGAUAUCUUGAGUGCAGUUGAGGCAGGCGGAAUUCGUGGUGUAGCGGUGAAAUGCUUAGAUAUCACGAAGAACUCCGAUUGCGAAGGCAGCCUGCUAAGCUGCAACUGACAUUGAGGCUCGAAAGUGUGGGUAUCAAACAGGAUUAGAUACCCUGGUAGUCCACACGGUAAACGAUGA